GAGCAUAUCCGUAGGCCUUGUCUUAUUCUACAGAUCAUGGCAGGCUGGGGGGACAGUGUAUGCCAGAUUAAUUGGGGUUCAUAUGAGUUGUAAGCUUUUAAAUCAGUAACUGGAUAAUUUGCAAUACUCCCAACAGUC
rnacentral:snoRNA from 1 species